CGCGAUGCGUGUGAGUUUAGGAUGGCAACCGGAUUGGUUCGGACCAGAGAUCGAAUUGAUUAUGCAUAAAGUCAAAAAUUUUCAACCUAAAUCUAAUUUAUUUAUUAAAAAAUAAAAAUUUAAAUUUAAAUUUAAUUUAUUUAUUAAAUAAAAAAUUUGAUUCUAUCUAUAUAAUUUAUUAUUAAAUAGAUUAAAUAGAUUAGAUGGGCUAGAUGGAUUUUUAAUUAGUUAAAUAAAUUUAAAUAUGUUAAGUGGGUCAGAUAAACAAAUUAAACAGCUUUUAAACAAGUUAAACGGAUCGAGUUAUAACCUAAACUAACUAUUAAAUAAAUUAAAAUUUUAAAUUUGAAUCCAAUAUAUUUAAUAAAUAGAUUUAUGAUAUAAAUUUGUUCACGUCAAAUUUAAAUUUACUUAAAG
rnacentral:lncRNA from 1 species